CCUGUACCCUUGUGGGUCCCUGACCUUCUCAGAUGAACAGCUGGCCAUGUGGCAGGCCCCUUGCAGCAACAGAGGAAUCUCCAGCUCUAUGUGGACUUCAAGUGUGGAAGUUCCUGUCAUGCUGUGCUUGGCAAGUCUCAGUGCCCACCUGUUCCUGUGCCCUGCAUGGAAGAAAGCCAAGCCUUGGGACAAGGCCAGGUCCUGGAGGAUCCAGCUGGUGAGCAGUUAACCAACGAGACAUUCUGGGCAGCAUGGCUGCUCUUUGAAUUCUCAGCCAGCAGACGAAUGUGACUUGCCUGCAGAGACACUCAGACUGGUCUGCACUUCCCUAUCCUCUCCUGUUCUUACUGAAUGAGGGGUUGGACAUGUAGAUGAAGAGUGAGGUAGAAGGAU